rnacentral:rRNA from 1 species
CCCUCCCUUUGUCGGCAUGCCUAACACAUGCAAGUCGAACGAGACCUUCGGGUCUAGUGGCGCACGGGUGCGUAACGCGUGGGAACCUGCCCUUAGGUUCGGAAUAACUCCCCGAAAGGGGUGCUAAUACCGGAUAAUGUCUUCGGACCAAAGAUUUAUCGCCUUUGGAUGGGCCCGCGUUGGAUUAGCUAGUUGGUAGGGUAAAAGCCUACCAAGGCGACGAUCCAUAGCUGGUCUGAGAGGAUGAUCAGCCACACUGGGACUGAGACACGGCCCAGACUCCUACGGGAGGCAGCAGUGGGGAAUAUUGGACAAUGGGCGAAAGCCUGAUCCAGCAAUGCCGCGUGAGUGAUGAAGGCCUUAGGGUUGUAAAGCUCUUUUACCCGGGAUGAUAAUGACAGUACCGGGAGAAUAAGCUCCGGCUAACUCCGUG